rnacentral:rRNA from 1 species
CAGCCGCCACGGGAACACGUAGGGUGCAAGCGUUAAUCGGAAUUACUGGGCGUAAAGCGUGCGCAGGCGGUUAUAUAAGACAGAUGUGAAAUCCCCGGGCUCAACCUGGGAACUGCAUUUGUGACUGUAUAGCUAGAGUACGGCAGAGGGGGAUGGAAUUCCGCGUGUAGCAGUGAAAUGCGUAGAUAUGCGGAGGAACACCGAUGGCGAAGGCAAUCCCCUGGGCCUGUACUGACGCUCAUGCACGAAAGCGUGGGGAGCAAACAGGAUUAGAUACCCGUGUAGUCCCUGUCUCUUAUAC